AGGCUGCAACUCGCCUGCAUNAAGUUGGAAUUGCUAGUAAUCGCGAAUCAGAAUGUCGCGGUGAAUACGUUCCCGGGCCUUGUACACACCGCCCGUCACACCAUGAGAGUCGAUAACACCCGAAGCCGGUGGCCUAACCCUUAGGGGAGGGAGCUGUCGAAGGUGGGACUGAUGAUUGGGGUGAAGUCGUAACAAGGUACC
rnacentral:rRNA from 1 species